GGCGACAUCGUCUAGUGGUUAGGACGUUCGGUUUUGAUCCGAACGACCUGGGUUCGAACCCCAGUGACGCCU